rnacentral:rRNA from 1 species
ACUCAAAUGAAUUGACGGGGGCCCGCACAAGCGGCGGAGCAUGUGGAUUAAUUCGAUGCGACGCGAAGAACCUUACCUGGGUUUGACAUGGCCGGUAAAGCCGUAGAGAUGCGGUGUCCUUCGGGGCCGGUCACAGGUGGUGCAUGGCUGUCGUCAGCUCGUGUCGUGAGAUGUUGGGUUAAGUCCCGCAACGAGCGCAACCCUUGUCCGAUGUUGCCAGCGGGUUAUGCCGGGGACUCAUCGGAGACUGCCGGGGUCAACUCGGAGGAAGGUGGGGAUGAAGUCAAGUCAUCAUGCCCCUUAUGCCCAGGGCUUCACACAUGCUACAAUGGCCGGUACAGAGGGCUGCGAUACCGUGAGGUGGAGCGAAUCCCAAAAAGCCGGUCUCAGUUCGGAUCGGGGUCUGCAACUCGACCCCGUGAAGUCGGAGUCGCUAGUAAUCGCAGAUCAGCAACGCUGCGGUGAAUACGUUCCCGGGCCUUGCACACACCGCCCGU